AACUGCGAUAGGAUAUGUUUUACUAGGGUUAAACUAUUAUCCAAAAUACUUAUAAGAAAAUAAUAUUUAGCUUCUUUGAAAACGUGUAAUAGUAAUUAAAAGGGCUUUUAAUAAUGUUAUCUGACGAACCUUUGGAUGAAACCAAAAAAAUCCCUGUUAGUUUGGAAAAGAAACGCAGAAAAAGUGCGAAGAAUCAAUUCCUUGAGAAAAAAGCAAAAAUACUUUCGGACGAUGAAGCCGACUUAACGGGAAUUUUAAAAACUAAAAAAACUAAUAAACACAAAAAAUUCUCAAAGAAAGCUGUUUUUUCUUCUGGAAAAAGGAAAGUAGUGAAAGAAAGGAAAAAACCGCCUCAGCUUAAUAUUCUAAGCGAAGAAGAUUCGGAUUUUUGUAAGAGAGAAGAAAUAGUGGAACACUCAGGUCACAUGACUUGGCUUCAAGCAGCUGAAAUAGUACUGGGAGACUUUGGCCCAGAGGGGUUGCAUUUUAAAGAUUUGCACACCGCUAUAGUGCAUCAAGGAUUAGUUUCUAGAAGCUCAGGAACGAGUUUAGAAGCGCUUUUAUACCGAGAAACGGCUCAGGGGAGUGUCCGUUUCGAAAGAGUGCCAGGAGCACGCGGCUUCUUUCGCUGCGUGGCGAAUUCCGAAAAAAAAAGUUCGUUUAAAGAAAGUACGUCAGCUAUGAGGAAAUGGUCUUUCGAUAAAUUAUUAACUCGUUAUAAGAAUAUGAAAAGGGAAUUUAAAGAUCUGCUCUUUUUGAAUUCUUUUCUAAGACAUGAAGUUGAACUAAAGAAAAAUAAGUUUCGCCGCUUACACCAAUUUAAAAGUUAUAUGCUAUCUAAACUGGUGGAAUUUGAGCCGUUAAGUUUAGACGAACCCUUUUACGACGAAUCUAGUGAAAAUUCGGAUUUUUCAGAAUUUUCAGAUUUGGAGCUAAAACCGAUACAAAAACCAUUAAAAAUUCAAAGUAAAGCUUCACGAGAGAGCGGGUCUGCAGGUGAAGCCUCUAUAACACCGAGGAAGAAAACUAAGAAGACUCGAACUUUAUCUCAAGUUUGAAAUACAUCUAAACAGAGCCCAAUAAUUUUUUUAGUGAGUUCGCGUAAAUUUUUGGGGGUAAAUAAAACCCCCCAUAGUUAAAGUAAGUUUAGACGAGAACACAUGCUAUACUUUUGUUGCCUGCAAAAGUUUAGUAGCGUUGACAAGAGCGAGAAACGAUUCACUCUCGACUAGAAGUUGCGGAGAUUAAAGAAAACCUUUAUUAUAUCUAAAGCAGUUCGCGUCUUUGCACACAGUUACGAAUCGUAAACUUACCCGCAUUAGGGAGGACAGUAAAAGUAAACAUAGGAUGAAUUAACUUACAUAA